rnacentral:rRNA from 2 species
CCGGGUUGCGGACAGUGUCUGGUGGGUAGUUUGACUGGGGCGGUCUCCUCCCAAAGAGUAACGGAGGAGCACGAAGGUUGGCUAAUCCUGGUCGGACAUCAGGAGGUUAGUGCAAUGGCAUAAGCCAGCUUGACUGCGAGCGUGACGGCGCGAGCAGGUGCGAAAGCAGGUCAUAGUGAUCCGGUGGUUCUGAAUGGAAGGGCCAUCGCUCAACGGAUAAAAGGUACUCCGGGGAUAACAGGCUGAUACCGCCCAAGAGUUCAUAUCGACGGCGGUGUUUGGCACCUCGAUGUCGGCUCAUCACAUCCUGGGGCUGAAGUAGGUCCCAAGGGUAUGGCUGUUCGCCAUUUAAAGUGGUACGCGAGCUGGGUUUAGAACGUCGUGAGACAGUUCGGUCCCUAUCUGCCGUGGGCGCUGGAGAAUUGAGGGGGGCUGCUCCUAGUACGAGAGGACCGGAGUGGACGCAUCACUGGUGUUCGGGUUGUCAUGCCAAUGGCACUGCCCGGUAGCUAAAUGCGGAAGAGAUAAGUGCUGAAAGCAUCUAAGCACGAAACUUGCCCCGAGAUGAGUUCUCCCUGAGACUUUAAGUCUCCUGAAGGAACGUUGAAGACGACGACGUUGAUAGGUCGGGUGUGUAAGCGCAGCGAUGCGUUGAGCUAACCGAUACUAAUGAACCGUGAGGCUUAACCUUACAACGCCGAAG